rnacentral:rRNA from 1 species
UACGUAGGGUGCAAGCGUUAAUCGGAAUUACUGGGCGUAAAGCGUGCGCAGGCGGUUUUGUAAGUCAGAUGUGAAAUCCCCGGGCUUAACCUGGGAACUGCGUUUGAAACUACAAGGCUAGAGUGUGGCAGAGGGGGGGUGGAAUUCCACGUGUAGCAGUGAAAUGCGUAGAGAUGUGGAGGAACACCGGGUGGCGAAGGCGGGUCUCUGGGCC